AUUGAACGCUGGCGGAAUGCUUUACACAUGCAAGUCGAACGGCAGCACGGACUUCGGUCUGGUGGCGAGUGGCGAACGGGUGAGUAAUGUAUCGGAACGUGCCCAGUCGUGGGGGAUAACGUAGUGAAAAUUACGCUAAUAACGCAUACGAUCUAUGGAUGAAAGCGGGGGAUCGCAGGACCUCGCCCGAUUGGAGCGGCCGAUAUCAGAUUAGGUAGUUGGUGGGGUAAAGGCCCACCAAGCCAACGAUCUGUAGCUGGUCUGAGAGGACGACCAGCCACACUGGAACUGAGACACGGUCCAGACUCCUACGGGAGGCAGCAGUGGGGAAUUUUGGACAAUGGGCGAAAGCCUGAUCCAGCCAUUCCGCGUGCAGGAUGAAGGCCCUCGGGUUGUAAACUGCUUUUGUACAGAACGAAAAGGUUUCUACUAAUACUAGGAGCUCAUGACGGUACUGUAAGAAUAAGCACCGGCUAACUACGUGCCAGCAGCCGCAGUAA
rnacentral:rRNA from 1 species